rnacentral:lncRNA from 1 species
GAAGUUCAAGCAAAGGAUUAGUUGGUGGAAGUUGAUGAGUAAGAGGUUAUUUGAGGAGUUCGGGCAGGAAAUGUACAAGGAGAUAUAGAGGUAGAUGUAGGAGGAGAUGAGAUAAUGAUGAUGACGAUGAAUCUGUUGCCAUUAAUAUAUAUGAUGAUGGUGACAAAGGGCUGCUUGAGAUUGAGCCGAAGCAACAAGACGAGGGAGAG